rnacentral:rRNA from 1 species
GGCCAGACUCCUACGGGAGGCAGCAGUGGGGGAUAUUGCACAAUGGGGGGAACCCUGAUGCAGCGACGCCGCGUGGGUGAAGGAGCGUUUCGGCGCGUAAAGCCCUAUCGGCAGGGAAGAAGGGGGACGGUACCUGACUAAGAAGCCCCGGCUAACUACGUGCCAGCAGCCGCGGUAAUACGUAGGGGGCACGCGUUAUCCGGAUUUACUGGGUGUAAAGGGAGCGUAGACGGCAUGGCAAGUCAGAUGUGAAAGCCCGGGGCUCAACCCCGGGACUGCAUUUGAAACUGUCAGGCUGGAGUGCAGGAGAGGUAAGUGGAAUUCCUAGUGUAGCGGUGAAAUGCGUAGAUAUUAGGAGGAACACCAGUGGCGAAGGCGGCUUACUGGACUGUAACUGACGUUGAGGCUCGAAAGCGUGGGGAGCACACAGGAUUAGAUACCCCCGUA